UCUGUUUCUUGUUUAUUGAUUGGGAUCUUCCGGUUGUUUUGCUUUUUUUUUUUCUUUUUCGGCCCAAGCGAGAGAGAAUUCGUUCCUUGGGAAGGGAAGGAAGGGCUGAGUUGAGAC
rnacentral:ribozyme from 11 species